rnacentral:rRNA from 1 species
CAGCCGCCACGGGAAUACGGAGGGUGCAAGCGUUACUCGGAAUCACUGGGCGUAAAGGACGCGUAGGCGGAUUAUCAAGUCUCUUGUGAAAUCUAACGGCUUAACCGUUAAACUGCUUGGGAAACUGAUAAUCUAGAGUAAGGGAGAGGCAGACGGAAUUCUUGGUGUAGGGGUAAAAUCCGUAGAUAUCAAGAAGAAUACCUAUUGCGAAGGCGAUCUGCUGGAACUUAACUGACGCUAAGGCGCGAAAGCCAGGGGAGCGAACGGGAUUAGAUACCCGGGUAGUCCCUGUCUCUUAUAC